CUCCAUCCAUUCAUUCUCCAAACCGCUUCUCCUGUAGGAUCCUAUGAGGGGAUGCUGGAGUCUGUCCCAGAGUCUCCGACCCAAAGCAGGAAAACACCCAGUCCAUCACAGAGCGAUAAUAAGGGAUGUUUGAACUGUUACACUCAGCCAACAGAAGCAUGUGGACAGACAUUGACUGUAAUGAUGGACAUCUGCUGAUGCACAGGCAGAAGUAUAACCCCUGCUGGACAUUGUGCUGGAACUCGGGGAGGACACCAUGAUCCCCCACACCUUCUCACUCACACCAGACCAUUCACUGAUAUCACGGAGAUCUGGCUGGACUUGAACCAGCAACCUCUGAAACCACAAGGCAGCACUCUUACCUCUGAGCCACAGAUCUCAUGUCUGAACAUGUGCAGGAACUUAUAUUUCACUAUUCUCCCUGUCAGUUUACAAUAAACCAGUUACAUUUUGAACCCA
ensembl:lncRNA